rnacentral:rRNA from 1 species
GAUGAACGCUGACAGAAUGCUUAACACAUGCAAGUCAACUUGAAUUUGGGUUUUUAACUUAGGUUUGGGUGGCGGACGGGUGAGUAACGCGUAAAGAACUUGCCUCACAGCUAGGGACAACAUUUGGAAACGAAUGCUAAUACCUAAUAUUAUGAUAAUAGGGCAUCCUAUAAUUAUGAAAGCUAUAAGCGCUGUGAGAGAGCUUUGCGUCCCAUUAGCUAGUUGGAGAGGUAACGGCUCACCAAGGCGAUGGUGGGUAGCCGGCCUGAGAGGGUGAUCGGCCACAAGGGGACUGAGACACGGCCCUUACUCCUACGGGAGGCAGCAGUGGGGAAUAUUGGACAAUGGACCGAGAGUCUGAUCCAGCAAUUCUGUGUGCACGAUGAAGUUUUUCGGAAUGUAAAGUGCUUUCAGUUGGGAAGAAACAAAUGACGGUACCAACAGAAGAAGUGACGGCUAAAUACGUG